CAGUCGCCACGGUAAUACGUAGGUGGCAAGCGUUGUCCGGAAUUAUUGGGCGUAAAGCGCGCGCAGGUGGUUUAAUAAGUCUGAUGUGAAAGCCCACGGCUCAACCGUGGAGGGUCAUUGGAAACUGUUAAACUUGAGUGCAGGAGAGAAAAGUGGAAUUCCUAGUGUAGCGGUGAAAUGCGUAGAGAUUAGGAGGAACACCAGUGGCGAAGGCGGCUCUCCGGCUUGUAACUGACGCUGAGGCUCGAAAGCGUGGGGCGCAAACAGGAUUAGAGACCCCAGUAGUCCCUGUCUCUUAUAA
rnacentral:rRNA from 1 species